CCUACGGGUGGCUGCAGUGGGGAAUAUUGGACAAUGGGCGAAAGCCUGAUCCAGCCAUGCCGCGUGUGUGAAGAAGGCCUUCGGGUUGUAAAGCACUUUCAGUGGGGAAGAAAGCCUUGGGGCUAAUACCCUCGAGGAAGGACAUCACCCACAGAAGAAGCACCGGCUAACUCCGUGCCAGCAGCCGCGGUAAUACGGAGGGUGCGAGCGUUAAUCGGAAUUACUGGGCGUAAAGCGCGCGUAGGCGGUCUGAUAAGCCGGUUGUGAAAGCCCCGGGCUCAACCUGGGAACGGCAUCCGGAACUGUCAGGCUAGAGUGCAGGAGAGGAAGGUAGAAGUCCCGGUGUAGCGGUGAAAUGCGUAGAGAUCGGGAGGAAUACCAGUGGCGAAGGCGGCCUUCUGGACUGACACUGACGCUGAGGUGCGAAAGCGUGGGUAGCAAACAGGAUUAGAUACCCGAGUAGUC
rnacentral:rRNA from 1 species